rnacentral:rRNA from 1 species
AUUGAACGCUGGCGGCAGGCCUAACACAUGCAAGUCGAACGAGUGGCGGACGGGUGAGUAAUGUCUGGGGAACUGCCUGAUGGAGGGGGAUAACUACUGGAAACGGUAGCUAAUACCGCAUACCAUCGGAUGUACCCAGAUGGGAUUAGCUGGUAGGUGGGGUAACGGCUCACCUAGGCGACGAUCCCUAGCUGGUCGGAGAGGAUGACCAGCCACACGGGGACGGAGACACGGUCCAGACUCCUACGGGAGGCAGCAGUGGGGAAUAUUGCACAAUGGGCGCAAGCCUGAUGCAGCCAUGCCGCGUGUAUGAAGAAGGCCUUCGGGUUGUAAAGUACUUUCAGCGGGGAGGCGUUACCGACAGAAGAAGCACCGGCUAACUCCGUGCCAGCAGCCGCGGUAAUAC